AUUGAACGCUGGCGGCAGGCCUAACACAUGCAAGUCGAACGGUAGCACAGAGAGCUUGCUCUCGGGUGACGAGUGGCGGACGGGUGAGUAAUGUCUGGGAAACUGCCUGAUGGAGGGGGAUAACUACUGGAAACGGUAGCUAAUACCGCAUAACGUCGCAAGACCAAAGAGGGGGACCUUCGGGCCUCUUGCCAUCAGAUGUGCCCAGAUGGGAUUAGCUAGUAGGUGGGGUAAUGGCUCACCUAGGCGACGAUCCCUAGCUGGUCUGAGAGGAUGACCAGCCACACUGGAACUGAGACACGGUCCAGACUCCUACGGGAGGCAGCAGUGGGGAAUAUUGCACAAUGGGCGCAAGCCUGAUGCAGCCAUGCCGCGUGUAUGAAGAAGGCCUUCGGGUUGUAAAGUACUUUCAGCGAGGAGGAAGGCAUUAAGGUUAAUAACCUUGGUGAUUGACGUUACUCGCAGAAGAAGCACCGGCUAACUCCGUGCCAGCAGCCGCAGUAACAC
rnacentral:rRNA from 1 species